rnacentral:rRNA from 1 species
CCUACGGGAGGCAGCAGUGAGGAAUAUUGGUCAAUGGGCGCAAGCCUGAACCAGCCAAGUAGCGUGAAGGAUGACUGCCCUACGGGUUGUAAACUUCUUUUAUAGGGGAAUAAAGUGAGCCACGUGUGCCUUUUUGUAUGUACUUUAUGAAUAAGGAUCGGCUAACUCCGUGCCAGCAGCCGCGGUAAUACGGAGGAUCCGAGCGUUAUCCGGAUUUAUUGGGUUUAAAGGGAGCGUAGAUGGGUUGUUAAGUCAGUUGUGAAAGUUUGCGGCUCAACCGUAAAAUUGCCAUUGAUACUGGCAGCCUUGAGUACAUUUGAGGUAGGCGGAAUUCGUGGUGUAGCGGUGAAAUGCUUAGAUAUCACGAAGAACUCCGAUUGCGAAGGCAGCUUACUAAACUGUAACUGACAUUGAUGCUCGAAAGUGUGGGUAUCAAACAGGAUUAGAUACCCCUGUAGUC